rnacentral:rRNA from 1 species
CACGUAGGGUGCGAGCGUUGUCCGGAAUUAUUGGGCGUAAAGAGCUCGUAGGCGGUGUGUCGCGUCGGCCGUGAAAACCUGCAGCUUAACUGUGGGCUUGCGGUCGAUACGGGCAUCACUGGAGUUCGGCAGGGGAGACUGGAAUUCCUGGUGUAGCGGUGAAAUGCGCAGAUAUCAGGAGGAACACCCGGUGGCGGAAGGCGGGUCUCUGGGCCGAUACUGACGCUGGAGGAGCG